GUGGGAGAAUGUCUGCAGCAAGGCACUUGAGGAAGGGAGCCAUGACCCUUGACAAGCAAGUCGCAGUUUCCGUGUCUGAAAAAUGGUAUAAAAUGUGGAAAAGUCCUCAAGGGACAGGGUGGACUGCCUGGGAUCCUGGUGGCAGGGAGCAAGACUUCUCAGUGUCCAUGCAGGAGAAAGACCCCCCCCUCCAAGAAAAAAUGAGAUGAUCUGGUCACCCAUUGCACUAUGACCCCACUGGCUGAACUGAGGAGACCAUUCCCCCCAAUAGGCUGAUGCGGCCUCCUCCUCC